UAAACGUCUCAGUUCGGAUGUAGUCUGCAACUCGACUACAUGAAGCUGGAAUCGCUAGUAAUCGCAGAUCAGAAUGCUGCGGUGAAUACGUUCCCGGGCCUUGUACACACGCCCGUCACACCAUGAGAGUUGAGAAUACCCGAAGCCCAUGUCAAAGUGGUCGAAGGUAGGCUUGAUGAUUGGGGUGAAGUCGUAACAAGGUAAC
rnacentral:rRNA from 1 species